GACGAACGCUGGCGGCGUGCUUAACACAUGCAAGUCGAACGGAGUGGCGAACGGGUGAGUAACACGUGGGUGAUCUGCCUUGCACUUCGGGAUAAGCUUGGUAAACUGGGUCUAAUACCGGAUAGUGCAAGAUUAUCUCUGGGCAUAUCAGCUUGUUGGUGGGGUAAUGGCCUACCAAGGCGUCGACGGGUAGCCGGCCUGAGAGGGUGUACGGCCACAUUGGGACUGGGAUACGACCCAGACUCAUACGGGAGGCAGGAGUGAGGAAUAGUGCACAAUGGGCGGAAGCAUGAAGCAGGGACGCCGCGUGGGGGAUGAAGGCCUUCGGGUUGUAAACUCCUUUCGACAGGGACGCGGUACCUGUAUAAGAAGCACCGGCUAACUACGUGCCAGCAGCCGCGGUAAUAC
rnacentral:rRNA from 1 species